rnacentral:lncRNA from 1 species
UUGUGUCCAGAAGUCUGGGGUUCUCUGGCUUUUUCACUUGGCUGGCUGCAGUUUCAUGGCUCUGACCUCAGAUCUCUAGCUGUUUCACUGUCAGAAUACCUAACUCCCCAGUUGCCUCUCCUCUGUCUUGUCUGACAGCUUUUUUAAGAACUACUCUUUUUUGGGGGGCGGGGCAACCCUCUGCUCCUGUCCCAGUGACCUCAGUGGUAUCCUAGAUGAUCUCUUCUCAACCAAGAUCUCACACCAUUUCCAAGCUGGAUGAGAGAUGGUUCCCUGCUUCCUAAGAUGUCUCCCUGAUGAGCUUCAGGACCCCAUGGUGGAACCAAAUUUGGUGAUCACUGAUGAAGGUGAUUCUGGAGAGUGCUCAGUCCACCCCAGUAUCUUCACCAGAGCCUUCUACUUUGUUGACUGGAUCUGGCUCAUCAAGGGCUGAGGAAGUCCUUCAGGCAGAAUGAGGAAGAUACAUAGAUGGGCCAUCUGGAUAAGGAAAAGAGGAAGAAGAUUUGAGAUAAUAAAUGGAUAGCUGUCAUGGACUUUCCUCUUCUCCAGAACCAAGACCUACCACCUUUUCAGAGAACAAGUUCAUUCUGGCUGGAGCUACAACACCUGGUCCCUUUCUUUGUGACCUGCCCUGGAAGACACGUCGGCAGAGCUGAGUGAGGCUCCCUGUCUGGCUGCUGUCCUGGCUUGCAGGAUCUGGGAACACAUACCCAGAAACAACUCCCCAUCCAUGUGCCCUGCCCUUCAAAGUCUCACCUUCCUCACAUGCUUCUCAGAGAGCACAUACUUCAAGAAAACCAAAGGAAGAAAAAUAUUGUUCCAAGAGUUUUGGAAUUGACCUCUGGCUACAAAGAGCGUUGUGACUGGUUUACAAAGUUAUACGAUUCUCUGACAAAACUCUUUGUGACCAGAGCAACUACUUAAGAGUCUGUUACAAGGUGCACAGUGUAUUCUCUCUGUGAGCUUACAUCUGUGGGCUCCACAAAGGGCAUGCAUGCCAAAAGCCUGGGUAUGUGGUAGUUCCCAGUGACUGAAUCUUCUCCCAUUGGAAAAGGGAGGAACAGAAGAAAAGUCAGGGAAAUAGUCUAUGAGCUGGCUAGGUUUGAGUGCCCAUCAUUCUCUUGGGUAAAAGGCCAAAGGAAUGAGGGACAUGUCCCAAGAAGUAUGGCUGGAGCCAUGCCACAAAGUCAUACAGCCUCUUGGUGCACAGCUCUGUGCAUCUCCAAGACUCAGUCAGUAUUACAUUGACUGAUUCACUUGGUUUGUCCCCACCAAGACUCCCCAACACAGUGAAAGUGAGCAUAUGCCUUUCCUAGAUUGGCUUCAUUAUGGACUGGAGCCUUGACUUAGUAGUCACCUCCAGCCCAAAUCUGCUCUGCCCUUGUUUCCCACAGCAGGACUUGUGGGACUCACUUGGUGGUCAUGAUUGUAGAUCGUGAUGCACAAUGCAGUGAUUGGCUCACAACAGCUCAGCCUUCUUGCCACAUGGGAACUUCCUUCAAUAUGACCUGAUGCUCAACCACAUUUUGGGACAACAGAUGCCAGACCCUUUCCCAAAGCCCAGCCUCGCCAGUCUCUCAGCCAUCUUUCGGUCUUCAAUAAGGAAAUACCAAUGGUACCUGGCUGUCUUGGAGGCUGACUGCAGCCGCCCCAUGUUUCCCUCCUCUAAACUCAGACCAUUGUCAAGUCAAAAGCAUAGAUCAGAAACUUGUCUUCUACCAUGAGCCAGUACUGAAGUCAAUAUCCUGACAGCAGUGUGGCCACAG